GUUAAAGUCCUCAAACAGUACGAUAAUGCCAAGAAAAAGAAUUAAUGUACCAAGCUAAAUGGAGAUUCCACCUCCCUGCACGGCAUCUCUCCUUAGAGAUUGCUCACACCAGCCUGACUAGGAUCCAGCUGAGGACUGGCUAAAUCUAGAAAACGGAGGGAAGCGUUUUACUUCGGAAUAUAAGGAGAAUUAACUCCUUACUCACAAGAAUUACCACCAAAAAGCAACCAGAAGAACUCCGUGGACAGAGAAAAGAGCUGUGAGGACACAUCAGAAAGUAGAUGCAACUGAGCCUAAAACUUGGCAUCUGAUACUUCCACUGGGAAAUAAUUCUAUCAGAGAACACUGGCGCUUGUCUUCUCUCCCUCUCAAGACCCCAUUAUAAUGAAAGUCUGGAACUCUGAAAGUAAGGAAUUCAUCACAGAGAAGAAAUAUGCCGGGGAUAUCAAGAGGUCAAGAUCUACAGUAUAAGAGAGUUCAACAAAUGUCUGGAAAAUAGAUUGUAGUUGAAGUGGGUUGACAAAACUGUUGAAGAAUUUGCAGUCCAG
rnacentral:lncRNA from 1 species